ensembl:lncRNA novel transcript
UAUCCUGACAUACAGCUGCAGAGACAGACACUGUAUUGCCUCGGGGAGAACUCCAGCCCCAAAGGUUUCUCCCUGCAGGAAGUCGGAGCUUCAGAGGAGUGCAAGGUCACGGUGUUUGUUAUCCCACCUGCCUGUCUGUCAAGUCGCUGAGGAUUGGCUUUGUUCCUCUACCAAAGGCCACAGCCCCUGCCAGGGAACCUCUUGUCCAGCCUGCCAUCUGGGUCUAUUCUUUCCUCCCUGUAUGUUUCCAGACCUAGGGCUGGCAGCAGCUCCCUUCUAUUGGUACCCUCGAGGUACUGUGCCUGCCAUGUCUUCUUGCUUCAUCUAAACCCUGCACAUUCCUUUGUAAAAAGUGGUUUUAAUUAAACUCACCUCAAAUUUUCCAGUGUAA